UACGAAGGGGGCAAGCGUUGUUCGGAUUUACUGGGCGUAAAGGGCGCGCAGGCGGCUCGCCAAGUCAGAUGUGAAAGCCCCGGGCUCAACCUGGGAACUGCAUUUGAGACUGGAGAACUUGAGUUCGGGAGGGGAUGGCGGAAUUCCCAGUGUAGCGGUGAAAUUCGUAGAUAUGGGGAAGAACACCGGUGGCGAAGGCGGCCAUCUGGACCAAGACUGACGCUGAGG
rnacentral:rRNA from 1 species